GUUGAAUAUAUAUGUUUCGAGGAAGUGACUUUUACUGGCCCUGUUAGGGCUGUGCUAGCGUUGGUGCUGUGCUAGCGUGUCUCAGUGAUAUAUACUGGCUACUCUGAGAUCCCUUCAUCUGCUUUGCAAGCUCAGACUGGUGUGACGUCCUACCCCCGGAGAGGUUGACGCCAGCAGCACACCAAAGCUGGGGGGGUGCUGGAGGAGGAGCUAAAAAGUCUGCUGAAGCUGAAGGCAGGGAAGUCACACAGCCGAGAGGGAAAUGGAGCCACCAAGAGUGAACAGUGCAGAAGGAAAGAGCAACAGGGUGUCACCCAAAAACCAAACAACACCAGUGAUCAAUGCCAAUGUAUUACAGCUAAGCAUGCUGGGUGUAUAAGACAAACACAGAUAAACAAAAAGCAACAAAGACGUAGAUUUUGUUGUUACUGAAACCAAGUGCAUAUUUUUAACGUUCUCUUCGUUUCUUCAAAUCUGCAUAAAAACGAUAGCCAAAUUAUUCUGCACUCUCCUUAAUAAAGGGACGCUGCAGGCGUGAUGUUGGCGCACUCGGCCAAACUGUAUAUCCAGUAUACAUUUUGUAGUUUGUGAAAACAGUGUGUCAUGGAUAAUAAUAGUUCAUUAAAAUUAAUACUGUCUGCCCAAGAAAUUAUUUUUAAUUGGCUUGGCUUCCUUUCUGAGUAAAAAAAAAACAAAAAACAAAGAAAACACUGCAGUAGACGAAAUUCAGUUUGAUGGUUUCUCCAAAAACAAAAAUAUAUAAUUCAUACAUGAAUACCAUCCAUGCAGUUUCCAUAUCGCUUAUCCUCACUAAGAUUAUAGGCGUGCUGGAUGCUAAACCAGAUGACUGGGCGAGAAGCCGGGUAUCACCCUAAACUGGUCGCAAGGACGCAGUUGAGAGUCUUCAAUUAACGUACCAUGCAUAUUUCGGGGAUGUGGAAGGAAACCAGAGUACCUUGAGAAAACCCAGACAGGCACGGGGGGUAACAUGCAAACUCCACUGAGGGGGAGGCUUGAUUUGAACUCGCGUCCUCAGAACUGUGAGGCAGUCCUAACCAGUUGGCUACCGUACCAUACAUUAAUACCAGCAUAACUCAAUUUGUGGCAGAAGAAGACUAGCAGCUGAUAUGUGAUAUCAUCGAAU